rnacentral:rRNA from 1 species
GAUGAACGCUAGCUACAGGCUUAACACAUGCAAGUCGAGGGGCAGCAUGGUCUUAGCUUGCUAAGACUGAUGGCGACCGGCGCACGGGUGAGUAACGCGUAUCCAAUCUACCCAUGGCUCAGGGAUAGCCUUUCGAAAGAAAGAUUAAUACCUGAUGGUUUCGCUUUUCCGCAUGGUUUGGCGAAUAAAGAUUUAUCGGCGAUGGAUGAGGAUGCGACUGAUUAGCUAGUUGGCGGGGUAACGGCCUACCAAAUCUACGAUCAUUAGCCGAACUGAGAGGUUGAACGGCCACAUUGGAACUGAGAAACGGUCCAGACUCC